CUUCAGAAGGGAGAGCCAGACUUUCCUCUCCCCAGCCACUUGUUCCAGCUCCUCCGGGGGUAUCCGAAGGCGUUCCCAUCUAUAUAUAUGUAACGGGUAUUGGAUAUACAUAUGAAAUUCUUGCUAAAAGAAUUUUUAUAAUGUUUUAUAAUUGCCCUGUGAUUGGUGGGUUUUGGCGCCCCCUACUGGUUGCCUAUAAAUGCGAAGGGAAACCAAAAAUUCCACACAGUCUGUUCAGCUCUCUGUUAUGUACACAGAGUGACUAGUGGACCAGUACGGAAGCUCACUGCGCUUUUUGUGUUUUGUUGACCACCAUUUCAGAAUCAGUCGUUGGAUAAAAGGAGUGGGACGAGACGGUGUGGAAACAAACAGAAACCAGACUGAACUCUGAGGUCAUGUCUGUAUGAAGGCAGCAGUGACAGUGGAUGUGCCGCCGCUGUGGGCUACGCUCAGCUUAGAUUUGCAUAAGGACGCAACUGGGUUUUCAGUAGUUUUGUUUAUAACAAACAAUAGAGUUAGGCAUUUGUGCUCAAGCAUUUUUUCUAAAGUGUUAUGUGUUUGUGUUGAACCAUCACAUAGCUUCAAUAAAAUGCUAAAUAUUU